rnacentral:rRNA from 1 species
AGCUCCAGUAGCGUAUAUUAAAGUUGUUGCAGUUAAAAAGCUCGUAGUUGGAUUUCUGAUAGACCGUUGCGGCCCGUGCCCUUCUCGGGCGUGUGCGCCGUGUCGUGUUUGUCAUCCUUCCAGAGAGCUGCGUCUACCAUUCACUUGGCCGGACGUACGCGAUCUGGAUCGAUUACUUUGAAAAAAUUAGAGUGUUUAAAGCAGGCUUAUGCCUUGAAUACAUUAGCAUGGAAUAAUAAUUUAGGACUUCGGUUCUAUUUUGUUGGUUUCUAGGACUGAAGUAAUGAUUGAUAGGGACAGUUGGGGGUGCUAGUAUUCCGCGGCCAGAGGUGAAAUUCUUGGAUUCGCGGAAGACUAACUACUGCGAAAGCAUUCACCAAGGAUGUCUUCU